CAGAGGCCCCAAGCGUUACUGAGAAUCACUGGGUUUAAAGGGUGCGUAGGUGGUCCGUUAAGUUCGUUGUGAAAUCCCUGGGCUCAACCCAGGAAAUGCUUCGAAUACUGGCGGACUUGAGGCUAGUAGAGGUCACUGGAACUGACGGUGGAGCGGUGAAAUGCGUAGAUAUCGUCAGGAACGCCGGUGGUGAAGACGGGUGACUGGGCUAGUUCUGACACUGAGGCACGAAAGCGUGGGGAGCGAACGGGAUUAGAUACCCCGGUAGUCCACGCCCUAAACGAUGCAGACUAGACUGCAGCGGGUUACACCCCGUUGCGGUCGGAGCGAAAUUGUUAAGUCUGCCACCUGGGAAGUACGGUCGCAAGGCUA
rnacentral:rRNA from 1 species